CAGUCUGCUACAGCAGCACAACAUCCUCCAUCAUUGUGGGACAGUCUUUGGACAACAUCCUGGUGUUCAGAGUGGAAUAGUGUGUACAUUCGCUGCUGAGUCAGGACAAGGAUGCUGAGGAUGUGGUGGACAAGGAUGACCUGAAUACACAGAAGCAAUUGCUGAGCACAGCGGAAGACUGUUUAAUGAAAGGCUCAGCCGUAUCAAAGUCCAGCAAUGUGCGGGGACGCGGCCUAUCCAUAUCCAUAUAUUACAUCAUUUUAGCUGUCACUAACAAGGGAGAUAACUGUAGAUCUGCACCAGCACAACUGCUAAGCACAGAAGACAAAGGAGUAGUGAAAGGCUCAGCCAAAUCAAAGUCCAGUGAUGUGAGGGUGACACAGCCUUUCAAGUCCUCGUAUUGCAACAUGAAGGACAUUUUAGCUGAAACUAACUAGGGAGAGAACUGUAGAUCUGCACCAGCACAGAGCACCAGCAUUAAUAUCGAGUUGGCCCAGCAACCACACCAGUCCUGCCUGCAGAAGCCCCAGUCCAGAUUGACCCUCCCCCUCCAUUGACUUCUAACUCCUCCCCCUUGACCUCCUGCCUCAAAAAGUCAGCAUCGUUGAACAACUCUGUUCUGCAGGAAAUUCUUAGGGUGAUUCUGUUCUGACAAACGCAAUGCCCACGUCACGUUUUCCAAACAUAAGCCUGGGUAGUUUUGUUAAGCUAGAGUACCGCGUGGGCCUGAAAGGGACGAGUGUUACAGACACGAAAAGUUAUAGCAGUAGUUAUGGUAACGCUAACAGUCAGUUGUUGCUGUUGGACAUCACAACAAAUAUCAUGAAGAAUAAAAAGUUCAAUCACUUGUUCCAAUCUUUAUGGGACAAACAGAAAUUGAACAGGAGAGAAUCAAGGAACAAUAAAAGCGUGAGCUUUCCUAGUGGCAUACGUCUGCUGUUGAUAGUUUGGACAACAGUAGGGUUACGGACUGCCCCAGAUUGUCCUCUCAGCGGCCAAAAUAUUAUAAUAGAACAGACUUUUGGCAAUGUUACUGACAAAAAAAGGCAAAAAUGACUUGGUUGUGAACACCAAGAGCGCGAUACAUCCAUGCUGACACAGAAAGGCGGUAAUAACUUGGUUUUGAAAACCCAGAGCACAAUACAUCCAUGCUGACACAGAAAGGAAGUAAUGACUUGGUUGUGAACACCCAGAGCACGAUACAUCCAUGCUGACACAGAAAAUAAGUAAUGACUUGGUUGUGAACACCCAGAGCAAGAUAUAUCCAUGCUGUUACAGAAAGGCAGUAAUGACUAUGCUGUGAACACCCAGAGCACAAUACAUCCAUGCUGACACAGAAAGGCAUUAAUGACUUGGUUGGGAACACCCAGAGCACAAUACAUCCAUGCUGACACAGAAAGGCAGUAAUGACUUGGCUGUGAACACAGAACACGAUACACCCAUGCUGACACAGAAAGGCAGUAAUGACUUGGCUGUGAACACAGAGCACAAUACAUCCAUGCUGAAACAGAAAGGCAGUCAUGACUAUGCUGUGAACACCCAGAGCACGAUAUAUCCAUGCUGACACAGAAAGACAGUAAUGACUAUGCUGUGAACACCCAGAGCAAGAUAUAUCCAUGCUGACACAGAAAGGCAGUAAUGACUAUGCAGUGAACACCCAGAUAAAGAAUUAUCCAUGCUGACACAGAAAGGCAGUAAUGACUAUGCAGUGAACACCCAGAGCAAGAUAUAUCCAUGCUGACUCAGAAAGGCAGUAAUGACUAUGCUGUGAACACCCACAGAGAGAUAUAUCCAUGCUGACACAGAAUGGCAGUCAUGACUAUGCUGUGAACACCAAGAGCACGAUAUGUCCAUGCUGACUCAGAAAGGCAGUAAUGACUAUGCUGUGAACACCCACAGAGAGAUAUAUCCAUGCUGACACAGAAAGGCAGUAAUGACUAUGCUGUGAACACCCAAAACACAAUACAUCCAUGCUGACACAGAAAGGCAGUAAUGACUUGGUUGUGAACACCAGGAGCAAGAUAUAUCACAUGCUGACACAGGAAGGCAGUAAUGACUUGGCUGUAAACACAGAACACAAUACACCCAUGCUGACACAGAAAGGCAGUAAUGACUUGGCUGUAAACACAGAACACAUUACACCCAUGCUGACACAGAAAGGCAGUAAUGACUUGGCUGUGAACACAGAGCUUAAUACAUCCAUGCUGACACAGAAAGGCAGUAAUGACUUGGCUGUAAACACAGAGCACAAUACAUCCAUGCUGACACAGAAAGGCAGUAAUGACUUGGCUGUAAACACAGAGCACAAUACAUCCAUGCUGACACAGAAAGGCAGUUAUGACUUGGUUGUGAACACAGAGCACAAUACAUCCUUGUUGACACAGAAAGGCAGUAGUGACUUUGCUGUGAACUCAGAGCACGAUACAUCCAUGCUGACACAGAAAGGCAGUAAAGACUUGGUUGUAAACACCCAGAGCACAAUACAUCCAUGCUGACACAGACAGGCAGUAAAGACUUUGUUGUAAACACUAAGAGAUCCAUACAUCCAUGGGGUGUGCCACAGCCGCAAAUUACGCCCACUAUUAUGAACAAGGUUCUUAAAGUGAACACGUCUGGUUUGGUUAUGAGCACAUAGCACUCCAAGCCCAAAAGGCCUCGCAUUAAAUUGAUGCAAGAGAAGGCUUUGGAAAAUAACAGCAGUUUUGUUGUGUGGUCCAGUACGCCCUUCGACUCGCAACCUAAAGAAAGCAGAACUCAAACUCGUCUCUUAGCAAUAUCAGCAAGGCUAGCAUGUCAUCUCAGCUUCUUGAACUUCAGUGAACUUUACUAGCAAACAUGACUAACGUCAUUGAAGUGAAAGUCGAUGACAACCCCCUUCUUGCACAAAUACCAAAUUGCUUAAGAAAUUCAGCAUGAAGACGUCUUGCGUCAGACUACCAAGCCUCCUAUCAAUAUCUUCUCCCAUGUUGGCUACAUCAACACUUCCAACAGCAGAGCCUUGGUGAGUUCGACUUCCGUCUCGGCAUCGAUGUCGCUUAGCAACAAUUGGAUGAUUGCGUCGACAAAUUAGGCCGGACAAGUUGCUCGAACUGAAACGAUCUGAUUCAACAGGUAGAGCAGGCGUUGCCUGACACGUCCGUUAAUGUGACUGACCACGAUAUGUUGUUCUCGAAAAAUGUGAACCUUAGGCCUGGAGAGCAGUAUGCGAUUGACGCCAUUCAACAACAGUUGUUGUCGGCAAUUCUUGGGUUUGGGGUGGCGACUUCGGCGUCGGGACUCACUCCAUCUCUGUCUAUGGCCCAGUCGCAGCAGCAACAAGAACAAUAAGUACUAUCUUAGCGGUGUUCUGCGAUUUGGGGAUUCAUGUAUGUGCUUAAAUUGUCAUCCCAGAUUAGCCUGUGCAGACUGCACAUACAUUAAGCCCUAUUAAAGUGUCAUCCCAUAUUAGUCUGUGCAGACUGCACAUACAUUAAGUCCUAUUAAAGUGUCAUCUCAGAUUAGCCUGUGCAGACUGCACAUACAUUUAGUCCUAUUAAAGUGUCAUCCCUGAUUAGCCUGUGCAGACUGCACAUACAUUAAGUCCUAUUAAAGUGUCAUCUCAGAUUAGCCUGUGCAGACUGCACAUGCAUUUAGUCCUAUUAAAGUGUCAUCCCAGAUUAGCCUGUGCAGACUGCACAUACAUUUAGUCCUAUUAAAGUGUCAUCUCAGAUUAGCCUGUGCAGACUGCACAUACAUUAAGUCCUAUUAAAGUGUCAUCCCAGAUUAGCCUGUGCAGACUGCACAUACAUUAAGCCCUAUUAAAGUGUCAUCUCAGAUUAGCCUGUGCAGACUGCACAUACAUUAAGUCCUAUCAAAGUGUCAUCCCAGAUUAGCCUAUGCAGACUGCACAUACAUAAAGUCCUAUUAAAGUGUCAUCCCAGAUUAGCCUAUGCAGACUGCAUAUACAUUAAGUCCUAUUAAAGUGUCAUCCCUGAUUAGCCUGUGCAGACUGCACAUGCAUUAAGCCCUAUUAAAGUGUCAUCUCAGAUAAGCCUGUGCAGACUGCACAUACAUUAAGCCCUAUUAAAGUGUCAUCCCAGAUUAGCCUGUGCAGACUGCACAUACAUUAAGCCGUAUUAAAGUGUCAUCCCAUAUUAGCCUGUGCAGACUGCACAUACAUUAAGUCCUAUUAAAGUGUCAUCCCAGAUUAGCCUGUGCAGACUGCACAUACAUUUAGUCCUAUUAAAGUGUCAUCCCUGAUUAGCCUGUGCAGACUGCACAUGCAUUAAGCCCUAUUAAAGUGUCAUCUCAGAUUAGCCUGUGCAGACUGCACAUACAUUAAGCCCUAUUAAAGUGUCAUCCCAGAUUAGCCUGUGCAGACUGCACAUACAUUAAGCCAUAUUAAAGUGUCAUCCCAUAUUAGCCUGUGCAGACUGCACAUACAUAAAAACCUAUAAAAGUGUCAUCUCAGAUUAUCCUGUGCAGACUGCACAUACAUUAAGUCCUAUUAAAGUGUCAUAUCAGAUUAGCCUGUGCAGACUGCACAUACAUAAAGUCCUAUUAAAGUGUCAUAUCAGAUUAGCCUGUGCAGACUGCACAUACAUUAAGUCAUAUUAAAGUGUCAUCUCAGAUUAGCCUGUGCAGACUGCACAUACAUAAAGUCCUAUAAAAGUGUCAUCCCAGAUUAGCCUGUGCAGACUGCACAUUCAUUUAGCCCUAUUUUCCCAGAAUGAGGCUCAUAUACUACACUUAACAUCAGUAUUUUAUGUGCCUGAAAAGUUCCUAGCAUCAAAUGGGAAUAAUGUACUUUUACAUUGAUCACACUUAGUAAAUACAAUGCAAAUAGCACUUGAUAUGAUAUCAAUUUUAAUCAUAGAAGGUCAGGGCAUUAAGUUUUGUAUAUUUUCGACCGACAUUCAGCCCCUGAACCAAAAGUUAAUCCUUGCAUACAAAUCUGCUUUAAUAUAAUUUUUAAAUUAUAUUUAAUUUUAGUAAAAUAAUUACGUAAAAGCCUUCAGCUCAUUUUAAAAUUAUUUUCUUCAUGUAUUUUCAAUAUUUAUUUAAAUUCUUGGAUUUUGUUUUAAUAGCCUGUUCCUACAGGAACCCAUGCAAUCAUAGAUCGGUACCUAGCUGAACAACAGGCUGUCUGGUCAGCUGGGCCCAGACGCCCAGUGACACUUCCUGGCCCAGGACCUUGGGGCAAAUGCUCAACUAGUCCUACCUGCAGGGUGGAGCCACUCUGAACCUGGGGCUCCAAACUUUCUUGGCCAGCGGCCAAGAUUACCUUGUCAAUAAGAAACCCGGAUAGCAAGGCGUUGAGUUUGUUCUUGAAGCAUUUGCACCAGAAGCAGUCAUCAUCUUGAUAUUCUGGAAUCUCCAUGGUGAAGGACGACCUCAGUCUGUGAACAAAAUGCAGAGCUAACCUCAGAUGCCUUUUGACGAAAUCAAACCAUCCGAUCACAAACACAGACUGUUGCAGCAGUUGUUACCAUAUUGACCGCAGUCAAACCUAAGAAGCUCAGAGAUAAAUACUGAUUUAGUUCUGCUAGUCUCUGCAUACGGCCUGGUUUGGUCAGCACUUACUCUGACUCUUUGAAUAUUAUGACGGAUGGAAAUGAAUGACCUUGUUCAGAUCGAAAUGGCAGAAUGACACAUCACAACAAUUCAAGUGGAAAGCCAGAAAGUCAUGUCAACAGCCACAUUUUGUAUGUCACCAGCCAAGUUGUAUUCAAAGACAAACAAUAGUUUAUGCUCUAUUGUGUAUGUGACCAGCCAAGUUGUAUUCAACGAAAAACAAUAGUUUACGUUUUAUUUUUUAUGUGACCUACCAAGUUGUUUGUAUAGGUCCCUGGUUUAGCAAAGCAUUUAAAGUAUUUUUAAAAGCACACAUAUUGCAUGUCAAUUCAAUGUCUUUGCCUGUAUUAUGAAACUUUCACUACAGAUGUUGAUCCUCAUGAUGGUAAAUAAAUGGGAAAUACAAUGUUAUCAAAGAUUUGUUAAGAUUGCCAAAGCUGUUUAAAUGAUGCUGGUAACUUGAACAAGAUUGAAAAAAACAUUGGAGUGUUUUCAUGUUAUAAGAUAUGUUUCAGUUGUCUGUUUUUAACCCGUUAAUAUAGAUUAGCUAAUGAAAAGUAUUUGUUCAGAAAGGUGUAAAAUGUUUACGCUUCAGAUUUUUGUCAAUCAACCUUAUGAAAACAAUACUAGUCAAUUGGCUCAUUCGGGUCGGUAUUUUAUCAUGAAUCUUUUUUA